rnacentral:tRNA from 1 species
CCAUCGGUGGUUCAGUGGUAGAAUGCCACCUGCCACGCGGGCGGCCCGGGUUCGAUUCCCGGCCUAUGCA